rnacentral:rRNA from 1 species
AUGGCGUCGUGGUCCACCGGCCUCUGCGGCUGCUUCCACGAGACCACGACGUUGGCGGCUGUAAGCUGCCUGACCUUCUUCUGCCCGUGCGUCGCCUUCGGGAGGAUCGCCGAGAUCGUCGACAAGGGGGCCAUAUCAUGCUGUGCGAGCGGGACGCUGUACAUGCUUCUGGCCAUGACGACGGUGGUGGGCACCGGCUUCUACUCCUGCUGCUACCGUGCCAAGCUGCGGGAGGAACACGGGCUCGCCGAGAAGCCCUGCGGCGACUGCUGCGUCCACUUCUUCUGCGGCCUCUGCGCCCUCUCCCAGGAGUACCGCGAGCUCAAGAACCGUGGUUUCGACAUGAGCGCGGGAUGGGAAGCCAACGCGGAGAGGAUGGGGAAGACCGCCGCGCCCUAUGUGAACUCCGGGAUGACUCGUUAG